UAGAGAACAUACACGACAAGUCAGCGUUCAGUAUGUUUUGUGCCUAAAAUGAGACAUUCUAUGGAAGACCUGGGCUGUAUGUACCCACGGUGGGUGGGGUGGGUGCUCACUCCUCCCCUCCUCCCAAACAUUCCCAGCUAAACAAUCCAGGCAUUACAUUCUUAGAGCCAAAUUCUAAAGCAUGAGCUUGUUCUGGUUCAGUGAAGGAACGACCGUGCUGCCAGAAGUAUGGUUAUUUGUGCCUGAUAGUAACACCUGCCUUAGCAGGGCUUUGCUACGACUGCCAUACCCCUGUGGGUUCAAUGGAAGGAAGGCUUUGUGACCUCAAUUAUUUUGUUUACUACAUCAUUACAACGGAAGACUAAACUUUUCCAACCUAACUAACUUCAACGCUUUGCUUUGCCAGUUGUGACCAUUAGAAAGCACUGAAUGGUUUAAAAAUACAGUCCAAAUCAUCAGCUGUGCUCAGAGCUACAAAAGAAGGAAACGGGAUUCUGGCAACAGGCUUUGCUCUAUGCAAAAGCACUCAGCGCUACAGCUUUCAGCCCCAGCCAGGGUGGCAGGCAGGCAGGUUAGGAAAGAAAGAGCCAGCUGCCAGCACCACAGCAUCCUGAAGUUAAGCCGCUGCCGUCCAAACCCUGAUGCAAUACAGAAAAGCCCACGCUUCCACUGCGCUGGGUGGCACUUGCCAGGAGCUGCUGCUCAGACUGGUCAGCACCUGGACAGAGCAGAUGCCUAAGGUCUGACAUCUUGGCAAUGGCAAACCCCAACCCUGGGUUGCUUUGCCAUCUCUGGGCUUGUUCCAUCAUGAGAUUAGAGCUAGUAUUUUAGGCGCCAGCUAUCUUCAGUAUACUGGGCAGCCAAGUUAUUUAUCUCCUUGAGAACCCUACUCACCCUAUUCUGAUUUCAACUGAGCCAAGCGGGCGGCACAGCUGUAUCAAGCUGUGGCCAAGCAGCCUGUAUACCCUCCCCGUGCUCCCACACAGCACAUGGCUGCACCAGGAGGGUACACGCAUGGCUCUGCGCCCAGGGGUUGGGCUGUUACACAACACUGGGACUCUUAUGUUUCAGUUCUUGUUCCAGGUUUGUUUUCUGGAAAAAGACCUUCCCCAGUUCCCAGCCCCAGUGCCCAGGUGAGCAGAGCCUAGAGUUAAGCACAACUGAAAGUUAAGCUUCACCUCAUCUCAAAAGCCAUUUUCCUGACAGCUCCUUAUUUAGUACGCUACCCGCUGUGGUUCCCUCAGUGUUUAGCUCAGGCUGUGGCUUCCAAGCCAGGUCUCUCAGCUGUGCACAGAGGCAUGCAGAGUGCAGCGUUUCACACGUACGUUUUGCAGGUCCAGCCCUUUGUUUUAUCAUCUCAGCUUGAGGAUGCGCUGCAGACGAGGAUAAGGUGAAGAACAAAUGGGUCUAAGGUAGAUACUUUGUUAAGGUACAGGCCACUCAAGGACAUAUCGAGGCACUUUUGGGAAGGGAGUAAGUAACACAAGUGAGAGUAAUUCUAGAUGCUUUUUUUUUUUGUAAGUAGAUAGCCCACUGCCUUUCCUUUGCCAGCUGCAAGAGUUCCACUAAACAGAGGUUGCCUCACCCAGUUCAAGGUAACCAGACCAAGCUGUUAAGGACUACUUCAGAGUGUUUGAAGACAGGAGAAAGCCCCUCCAUUCCCUAACUCACCCCUGCAAUAGGGCAAGCAGCCCAGCACCCAGCUCAGUAAGAACGCUGUUGCUAAGGCUACACAACCUUCUGGUGACUUCCCCAGGGCCUGCUCCAGUGCUGGCCGAGCACAACAGGCUCAGAAUUCAAGUCCAUAAGCGACCUUUCCAGCUAAUGGAGUGUUCCUAGAGGGAAAGGGAACACACGACAGACUUUUUGUCUAUAAACACGGUUAUAGGGAUGGGGGAAGAAGAAGGUAACAAAUUCUUCUUGAAUUGUCAAAUUUUUCUCUACGGCCCUAAAGAUGGGAAGUGUGUAAAGAAGGGGCCAAGCAACCAAAAUGCAGCUGGCGCUCCACUAAAUGCUGCAAGAUACCCCAUACUUGGGCCUUUCACCCCACCAUGAAAAUGCUUUUAAAAAAAUCCCCAAAGCAUUUGUCUUCCUUACUGCUGCUGCUCUAUAAGAAAGAGGACACUUCUUAUUUAACGCCCCAUCGAGCGCUUUGUGUCAGUAAGGGAUGUUUCCCUGGUAGACCUAUUGUCAUCUGCCCUGCACCCACCUCCUGCACUACUAGCAAUAUAACCACCUAAAGAGCCAAAGAAUGACUUUACCCCUUCAUGUGCACGCAAGUUAUCCAGCACAUCCAAAACAUCCAUCUCUGUUUCAGAGCAGAUCCAGGAACUUCUAAGUGGCUGCAGAUGGGGCAUCUUCCCCCAUCUCAAUGCCUCGCCUUCGGAAAGGAGAGGAUGCAGCUGGGGUUAAAGCAGCCCCGUGCCCACAGGGAACAGUGGGGACAUGAAAGCCAUCAGCAAAGCAGCAGUAGAGGGGAACCCCAUCCCAGCCUGUGGGACCAAAAAGCAGCCCCUGCCACAAGCAGCUGCCCUUGCAUAUCGCAUCAUUUGUCGGGAUGUGAAAUGAAGCAAAACUGUACACGUUCUUACAUGUCAAAAGGAGCAUACAAAGUCAAUUCCAUUUUGCAACACAGUGUACGUUUUGGUUUUUGUUGUUGUUGCUUUUUGUUUUAACUUUAAGGCCAGCUUACUCCCUCUUAAACACAGAAAAGCCAUCUCUGACCCACACACACUGCUGAUCCACAGCUCCUGAGCUGGGGCUCCCCUCCCAGCAGGGGCACACACCUAACAGUCCUUCCUUUCAGCAUUCAAAGUCGCACAAAUCCAAACCUGAGAAGUUUUCUCCAAAAUCCAUUCUCAAAAAACCUUAAACAAAGAAUUCCCCAGACUCUGCCAGCUUCUUACUGACUUACCAGCGUGAGUGGGAUAGGAUGGGACCAACAAUAAGCUGAAGCAGAGAAUGUGCUAAAAAUCUCUGCAUUAUCAGAUCACUUAAGAAACAGGCUCACUGCAGGAAAUACUCUAGAUAAGGUUGUUCAGAGAUAAAGUACCUUGUCUUUGUGCUUUAUGAAGAGUAAGCUUACUGUAAGCUCACAUUUUGAUUUUAACGUUAUCUCGAGUCCCCUUUCCCCUAUCUCCACCUGUUGUAAGCCACAGUGCCAGCAUCAGCCCUCAGAGACGCAGCAGUAUCUUCUGCCUGGACAACCUGCGACCUUACCCACAGAGCUGCAGGUCAGAGCAGGGGGGACACAAACACGCUCCAGAAGGAACGCUUGUGGCCAGCUCUGUCGGUACAGCAGUGCCUUAAAGGCUUCUCCCUGCGUGCACCCGAAGCGUUGUGUCCGCAGGAAAAGGGGUUCGCUUUUUCCAAAGCAACAUUCUCAUCAUUUGUGAACCUGCAAAUGUCAUCUAACUGUUAAACAUUCAGAGUCGCAAAACAAACUGCACCGCACGACACCCUGGGUCAGCUCGGGAACGGGCAAAUGGGGAAAGGUGUUUAAUGCUGUUUUGCUUAGUGACCAGAAUCCACUGCUUUAUAUACGUGGGAUUCAGUCGCAGCCAAGACCACAGUAGGACUACAUACCCCCUGCGUUUAACCUGUGAAAGACAACACAGACUGCAGCAUGAUACAGGACAAGAGAGCGUUGAACCUGCGAAUCUCACAGGAGGCAUCGGCCUCCCUCGCACACAGUUUUGCCACACCUUUGCUGAAUACACUCUGGUAUCCAAGUGCUUACCGAGCGACACCGUGGCCAGCAUAAGCUGUGCAUCUCCGCUAUCUGAAGGGUGGCAGUGAGGUGGGCAGGAGCACGGCAAAUGGAUUCCCAAGACCAGCCAAGCGCAGCAGCCAUCCCACCCUGCCCGACAGCUGCAGGCGCCGUGUGCACCUCUCCCUGCAGAACACAGGGUGCUCAGAGCCAGUACCGCUACAGAGAGGCAGCAUCUGCAUGGGGGCUUCAGGAACUGUUAAGGGCCAGAACGGGUGGGAGCGAAGAGGUAAGAAUAAGCACUCUCCUGCUGGGGUUUAAGAAGAACCUGCGAGGUUACAAGGAGCAGUGCGGUACCUGAGAGGAAGCUGAGCCAGAAGGAGACCAGCCUCUCGCUGCAGGACUUGGGCUAGGAAGGGCUCGGGAAGCGCAGGGAAGUGACAGGACAGCACAGCUGCAGCAGCAGUCGCUCGGAGAAGCCAAAAACUCCAGGGGUUGGCAGCAGCUGGCUCUACCCUUCCCCGGGGAUUCUCUGUUCCAGUUCCUCGAGUACAAGCACCCCGUUCUUCAGCACCUGCACUUAAGUUCUUACAUUUGCAGAAUUUAUUAUUAUUUGUGGUUUUUUUCUUAAAAAUACCCCUGUACUUUAAUCAGGAAAAACCAGUCCCCGCCCCAAUUCUACUAAAAACGUGAUUGUCCAUAGCUGGAGGCUUACUGAAUGACCUCACCCCGUCACCAUUACUCAAAUGUCCAAUUACACAGCAGGCAGCUCAACCUUUAGGUAACACAACUACAACAACUGGAUCGCGCUCGCUUCUCUCUCUCCCACCACCUCCUCAAGAGAGCUCUGUUACUUUUUCCUAAGCGCCAGCGCUACUCCGACUGCCACAGCCAAUAUGGCCACUGCAGCAGCCCCACCGUACAGCAAUAUGGAUUUCCCUUCCGGCAACAAGAUAGGCUUCUCCUCUGCAGUGGAGGAUUUCUCUUCUAUUUCUUCCAAAGGGCCCUCUUUCCCCACUUUUUUUUCCCCUGGAAGCAGUAUUUUCUCAGGUUCUGGUGCAGCCUUUCCUUCCGAUGGGGUUAACUUUGGGACAGGUUUACUUAACGCGGGGAUUUCGGGUUCAACAAGCUCUUCGGCCACUUUUCCCUUCUCCUCCUGUUUUGUACGACGUGCAGAGGGAUGUGCUUUUUCUACGGCAACAAUUUCAGCUUGAGGUUUUACCUCCUGUAAAGAAGCAGGGGUUUCUGGAAACGCCGCCUGCACCGUCUCUGCAGCAACCGCCGACACCACUGCUUCCUCAAUCCCCUCCGGGAUCUCUUCCUUCUCCACGUGAACGAUGUCGGAGUUGGAAGAGUUGUUCUCGCUCCUUUCUUCAGCCCCGCCGUUGCUAUCCAGGCUCUUGACUUCUUCAGGAUCCAUGGCCACCUGCUGCCAGGACUCCGGCCCCAGGGAGACGGGCAGGCUCUCUGUGUGCCAGCUCUGGCUUGCUGACAGGGAGACGGGCAGGCUCUCCGACUGCCACGACGUGGUCACCGUCGGGGACUCUGGGGGGCUCACCUGGCCUGAGUUGUCACUGGUCAGGAUGUAGAUAUCAUUACUGUCCUCUGCGAUGAGGCCGGGGUACUCUUCCUCUUCAGAUUCCAAACUAAACACCGUCCCCUGUGAAUGAAAAGGAUACAACACAUGAGCAAUGGCUUCAGCAUUACAUGCCCUGUGUGGGAAGGAAGAGGAUGCCUGGAAAUCCAAUGAAACAGACAGCAAAAUGAGAGGGCCUCUGCAGGAGCAGGAUUCAUCUAACCUACAUUAUGGAAGAGACUACAAAACUCAGCCAAUGCAACUGGGACACCCAGAGAACAGAGCGACUAGCCACGGGUGGGCUGCUGAGUUCGUACCACAGAAGAGAUUUGUCUCAAGGCGAAAAUUACAAGUGGAAAAAUAUAUUAUGUGCUGAAAAUCCUAAGAUGGGUGUGAUAACAGGAACAUAAAAUCAGUAACUAGGGGCUGAGAGGAACCCCAGUAAGCAUCUGUGAAACCAGAAGCCAAGACUUGAUUACCCCCUUGUUCCUAACAAAACCAGUUUGAAUGUUUUGCCAGUUCCUACAGUACCGCAGCCCUGCCGGUACAAACUCUUCUUACAGUUACCAAGAUUUCCUGUACAGUCCCAUCAUAACAGGAAGCACUGGAAAAAUAAUAAACCCAUUCUUUUUCCUUCUCCCUGCUCCAGUCCGCAAUCAAUAGUUCUCCUAAAGCACUCCAGGCAGCCAUCCUCCUCUUUUUGAAACUCCUUCCGACACCUAUGAAUUUGGGUUCUGCUUGUCCCUUACCUACGGCACCGACACACCUCUUUGGUUAUCCCACAACUUUUGAGUGGAUCCAAGCAGCAAUCUAUAUGAGGAACAGACCCAAAUUAAAAAUAAACAUACUGUUUAUCUUGGUGAGUUGUUUUUAAACCCGAUCAGUUUCCAGUUAGGUCUGCCAAGACACUCCAGUGUGCAACUGAGGGUAGAUGGAGGCCAGCAGCUGCUCUUGCUCACACUGAUGCCAAGAAUGCUCUAUCUACCCCAGUGCCCCGCUUCCAGAGUAGAAGGAAAAUGCAUUUCAGCCUUGGUAACUCCCAGUCAUUGCUUAGUUUCUAACGCACAAGGAAUUCAGUGCCUACAAAUGAAUGGUUUCUAACCUUCAGUGGGCAUAACAGCAGAGCUGAUAACAGCGAGGCCAGAAGCAAAGUGCUUUUUCCCUGAGAAGCGUGAGGGGUCGGGCUCUGCCUGCACGGAGCCUCUGGAAGGGGGAAGGAUCUCCACAUCAACAGAACAAAACAGAACUAAACAGAGCAUGCAGGCGCAGGAGAGAAAGGACAAACACCAUUCAUCACUUGCACUAACUGAAGUAAGAGUAAAUGAAGCACGAAAGGACCUCUGACUAAAGCACUGAAGUGGGACUUGAGAGAUCUGGGGAGCUCAUGGGCAGUAACAUUUUAAUCUCUCACGGUACGAAUUAUCACCACAUCAGUAAACCUUGUGAAAAGGGGUCAGCGUACCUCAGAGUGAGCAUAGGAGUGAGGUUUCUCUAUUCAUUCCCCAGCAACACCCUGCCAUUUUACCAAAUUCAAUGCUCUCAUUUCUGGACCCUUCAGUACAACAGCGCCAUCCUGUACUACAUCCUGCACUGGGAACAUAAAGACUUCACAAUGUACCUUGGCAGGGGCAGGAUCUGAAUCUCAUCUUCUCGGCUCAUUGACUUUUGGAAGAUGAUUAUGCACUAAAAGAAGAAUUUCGCAGAAUGCUAAAGGAACUUAUCUUCAUAAAUUCCUUUAAAUUGCUUAGCAGCUGCAAUAAAAACUGAAUGACAUUUAGGACAGCUCUCUUGAUUCAUCUGCAGAUGUGACCCAGAAGCAAAGCUCCCACAAACAGAUUAAUUCAGGACAGGAUGGAACAUUUGGAAGGAUUUUUAAUAACCUUGGGCCUUAUAUAAGCCACACUGUUUUGAUUUAAUGGUAAAUAAAGAACGUAUGUCUUUCUUUAUCUGCUUCAUCUAUUGUAAACGAAGGGAUCAUCUACUGCUCCAGACCAGAAAAAAACAAGUUCUGCUUUUUUAAAUGAGG
rnacentral:lncRNA from 1 species